rnacentral:rRNA from 1 species
AUUGAACGCUGGCGGCAGGCCUAACACAUGCAAGUCGAACGAGUGGCGGACGGGUGAGUAAUGUCUGGGAAACUGCCCGAUGGAGGGGGAUAACUACUGGAAACGGUAGCUAAUACCGCAUACCAUCGGAUGUGCCCAGAUGGGAUUAGCUAGUGGGUGGGGUAAUGGUUCACCUAGGCGACGAUCCCUAGCUGGUCGGAGAGGAUGAACAGCCACACUGUAACUGAGACACGGUCCAGACUCCUACGGGAGGCAGCAGUGGGGAAUAUUGCACAAUGGGGGCAAGCCUGACGCAGCCAUGCCGCGUUUAUGAAGAAGGCUUUCGGGUUGUAAAGUACUUUCAGCGGGGAGGCGUUACCCGCAGAAGAAGCACCGGCUAACUCCGUGCCAGCAGCCGCGGUAAUUC